ACGUAGGGUGCGGGCGUUAAUCGGAAUUACUGGGCGUAAAGUGUGCGCAGGCGGCGUUGCAAGUCGAGUGUGAAAGCCCCGGGCUUAACUUGGGAAUUGCGCUCGAAACUACUUGGCUGGAGUGUGGCAGAGGGGGGUGGAAUUCCACGUGUAGCGGUGAAAUGCGUAGAGAUGUGGAGGAACACCAAUGGCGAAGGCAGCCCCCUGGGCCAACACUGACGCUCAUGCACGAAAGCGUGGGGAGCAAACAGGA
rnacentral:rRNA from 1 species